CUACUACUACUUUGGUUCUACUUGGUUGGCUCGGAAUCUAUUUUCUGGACCCCAAGUAAUUCCCUGGAGUGGGUUAUGUAUUACUAGCUGCUUAUAGAACUGGACAAUAACUCCUAGACCCUAAGUAACUUCAUGAAUUAGAUUGAUUAGUAACUGGAUGCUCUACCGGUUGAUAUCUAUCUGUGAUGCCCCUGUUUGGAUGAGUGAUUCAUCCAGCCAUAUGCACUGAUGGUGUUGCUUUUACUGAAAGGAUGCAUUAUUUACUUGAUGCUUGACUUGGCAAUUUACUUGAUGGCUUAAUUGGAUGCUUCACAUGCUUAAAUUAUACUUAUGUUCCUCUGGUUAUGACAUGAGUCUUGGGGCCUUGCUGCUGGAUCCAAAGGAUCUAAGGAUCCACUAAUCAUUUAUAAGUUUGGAAUAUCAAUUAUUUGCAUGUGGUUGUGUAAAGUAAGUGUGCUACCAGAUUCAUCGACUUUAUUACUUGGUGGCUUUUACUCAGGGAUCUUGUUGCCCUCACAGAUGGUCUCUCUCUUAAUGGCUAUUACUUGAUAAGAACAGAUCUUAUGCUUGAUAUCUUGGCUUAGCCUGUGAUGCAAAGGCUGAGGCAAAAAUGUUGGAUAAGAACAGAUACUAAGAGAUGGCUUCCAAAUUUUCUAUGACGAUUCAGCAUAGCACUUCUAUGCCAUCUGAGAGAAAUAAUUCCUCCUGAUCCUCCUAGACUAUAUCUGGUUGCAGGGUGGUUGGAUUUAUUUACUUUGCAUGUUACCCUUUUAUUUUCCCUGAGAUGCAAAGGCUAAGAACACAUGCUUUUAUUAAGUUGAUGUAUCAACCUGCUGUUUGUAGAGAUCUUGGCCUUAUGGACUGUUGAUUGAUCUUCUUCUUGUGGAAUUCCUGCUCCUCCUAGCUUCUCCAUGUGCUGCCUCAUAUUCUGGUUCAUGAGAUCUUGCAGCUCUGGCUUGAUCUUGGUGAUGACCUACUUCUUCCUUGUUUGUUUCUUGUUGAUUAUCUGAUAUUCUGGAUGGGUGAAGAACAGAGGAUGUUCGUGGGUUGGUUGAUGCGUUGGAUAGAAGUGUGGUGCUUAAGGCAGCUUCCACAAGCAUGCUUUUAUACUCUGCUCCCCUUGCUACUUGUGAUCGACAGCACAUACAUGCAAACAUGUGUGUGUGCUGCUUGCUUGUAUGGUGCAAGUCCCAACCACGUGCAUCCCCUCUUGUGGAUAUGCAUGGUUGAGAAAAGAUCUUCCUUUUCCAUUUCUCUUUAUUUUUGAUAUAGCCACUUGACAUUACUUCUAUCUUGUGUUUUCUUUGUUUGUUUUGCAGGUGCUCAAGCUAAACAAGAAAUGAAGAUCUCCAACAUUUAGUUUAGGAUCUGUUUUACUUUUCUUAUUCUUGUAAUUGUGUUUUCUAUUAUUUACUUAGUUAGUAUUGUAAUACAUAUUGAAUAUUGUAAAGAUAAUGUAAAUGGGUGUUUUUAUUAAUCAAGCUCAAGUUUCUUUA